CCAUUGGUAACUAAAACUACAGAAAGCAGGACCAUGGAUAAGGGAGGUGAGGCUAUUGUACAGGGUUUAGAAUGUGAUGGUUCAGCCACAUAUUUUGCAUGGCUCCCUCCAACAUCCUUGCUGUUCUGGAGUCAGACUGCCUAGAUCUGAAUUCUGACUCCACUACUUCCUAACUCUGAGAGGUGGGUGUAAUCCAUUCAGUGAAAUACCAUUGGAUCCAUUGGAUGAAGACUCUGAAGAUGGCACAGCACUGUGAAUAAACCACCAUGUGACAGCACCUGUGUACUGCGAUUAUGAUCUCUUCCUAGGUUCCCAUCUGACUCAUCCUAGGACAACCCCCUUUCUGAAGCUAGCCAAACUGAGGAUGGCAUGAAGAGAAAGCCUUGUUGCUGACCAAGAAUCUUCACUUAAUACCAUUUGACCUGACUAUGGCACUAUCUUCCU